UCUGUCUGUCCACAUCCGUCCCAUUGUUGUGGCCGGCGUGUGGCAUUCCAUUUCCCCGUUGUUGC